GUUGAAACACCGGUUCUCGUACGAUCCCGGAAGGUAAGCAACGUCGAACCAAGUCAGUACCUAGAUGGGUGACCACUUGGGAAUACCGGGUGCUGUAAG